CUUCUCCCCACGCCUUGCUCGUCUCCCGCCCUCCUCCGACAACCGCUCCCCUCACCCUCCACCCCUACCCCCGCCCCUCCUCCUUCCUCCCCGGCAUGCGCCAUAUGGUCUUCCCGGUCCAGCCAAGAGCCUGGAACCACGUGACCUGCCCAUUUGUAUGCCGCGGAGCGCUCCAUUCCGGCCCCUUUGUGGCCAGAAGAAAGUGGCCCAUCUGUCGCCAGUUAGAGACUCCGCGGACCUGUUUUUACCCGCAGGAGAGAUUAACCCUUUCAGGCGGCAGAAGGGACGGGGAUAGAGGGGGGAGGGGAUUUGAGGGAAGGAAGGGAAAAGCUAAUGUUAACUAGGUCUAGAUCAGAGCGAGUGGCCUGCUUUCGCGCCGGAAGUAGGACAGAGGUGAAAGAGGCAGAAGCGGGGAGACUGAGGCACGCAGUGAAGAGUCCUCGCUCCUUUCGAUUUCUUGUCCUGACACUGGCAUCCAGAGCAGCAUGACUCCUUGCCCUCUCUGAAAGGCCCAUCCCUUGGCUUCUUCUCCUUGGCAGACGCUUUGAUCAUUGGCGCCAAAGGAUGGCUUCUCCUAAUCUCCGUCGGCCCCUCUAAGCAAACAUAUACGCCAUAUAAAAGCGGCUUCAUCUGUAAACGCAGCGUUGAGAUUAGUUCCCCAACCUCCCUAACCGGAUCGUCCUCUCCCAGUUCCUUCAGUACAGAAAAGUUGUACCUGCCAUUCUAUCCCUACCAUACGUGCAAUUCUUCAUGUCCUGACCUUCAGCUACGACUGUUCCUCCAGACCCUCUCACUACGUCAGUCCCCACCUCCAUCCCCAGGAUCUUGUCCUCAAAGCGAGCUAGUUCUCGCGAGGAGGCCUUGGUUCCAUUGGCCUUUGCGCUCUCUUAUGUGGGAGCUGGGGACUUCUUUGACGGUUGUAUUCUGCCUUUUAACCAUGGCCACUGGGUUGCUGGAAAGGGCACCCUCACUCAGCCAGUCCAGGGACGCUUCUGGUUCCCUGGCCAGCCCGCCCUGGACGGCCUCGGCUCUCUAGUCCAGGCAUUGACCACAAGUACGGUGGUGGACACCUCGCCACAGCCGGACCUGCGCUCUUGCUCCCCUCAGUCUCGGAAACGCCUUUAGCACAACCCCGGAAGGAUUAAUGGCUGCGAACUCCUCCAGACUUCAAAGCCUCUGAUUUGAAACUCCCAACUUGAAGGUCAAGCAAAGACCACAGAAAUUCUCGACCAGUUCUGAAGGAGCCAUAUUGUUGCCCAAAUAGCAAUUCUUUACUCUUUUCGAACAAGGGUUUUCCAGAAUAAUAGAUUUUAAAAAGAAAGAAAGAAACUGGCCUGUCUACUCGUUCUUUCCCAGCUUUGCCUCUAAUCCUUCAUUAACUAACUCCUUACCCCCUCCCAGACCUGAAACCCUCUGCAAUAAAUACCUCUUACGUGAAUUGCUUAUUUAAAGGCAAUUGCACUAAACAUCCCUCGAGUUUGCAAACAGCGACAGGGUUGAGAGGCUGGAUUGGGGUGCAUCUGGGAGAGGGUGGGGACGGGAGGAGAGAGUAGGGGUAGAGGAAGAGGGUCCUAGCCAGAUCCCCGGUGUCUGAAGGUAGCAGGUGCAGCCUUCCCUGCACAGUACUAAUCUAAAAGGGGAAGAAAAGAGUUGUGCCACCGAAGCGUGGCGUGAAUCGUUGUGGGGUUCUGGAGUUUUGCUUGCUUUUCUACAUUCACUUGGCUGACAAAGCGCAUAGGGGAGGAUAAAAUAAUUCACCCAGGAGCCUGGGCCCAGGAUUUACCCCUGUACUGUCUGUAUCUUCAGUGUUGGGCUAAAACUCGAGGGCGUCGGAGUACUAGCCCUUAGAAGAUAGUACACAGCCCGACGUUUGCGGCAGGGCCAGGUUAAGUACUGCCCCUCACCCGGCAGCUGCCCCGACUGGCAGCACACUAUGCCGCAGGCAUAUGCAACUCGUGCCUAGGCUCUCAUUUUUCCAACUUUGGGGAGUUCCGGAGGAGAACUGGGGACGGAGUGGGAGAAAGGACUCCAGCUAGCUUCGAGGUCAGGGGUAGCCUAGAGGUCCCUCUGCUAAAUCCUUGUCCUCACCCCCAGAAAGCAGAAACCUCCAGUUCGCGACAUCCUGUGCAAUACAGGAGAAUUAUGGUGGAGUCAGAUGUUCUUGAGCAAGAGGGACGCCCGAGUGUUUUGCCAGACGGAGACUCAAAUGCGUAAAGUGCGGGAAUUACUAGUCUGUUUCCUCCCUCUACCCUUGAUAAAUUCAUCUCUAAUCCCACUGCGCGUUGUUCGCUCAGGCCUGGAGAUUUGUACAAAGGAAAGGCCACUCCAGGAUGUUUCAGAGACAGGGCUGAGGUUGGGUCUCACGGUAGCUGUCCUUGGGCUUCCCAUCCCGCAGCGCUCCGAUGUGACCCUCCUCUGCGCGGAAAAUUUCGACCCGGGGCGCCGGCAUCGCGACGCUCAGCCAGUGCCCGCGAGGCUCCCAGGAGAUGCGGGGUAGUAAGGCCCUAAAAAGAGGAGCCUGGACACGGCCUGGAUUGAGGUGCGUUUUGUUUGGGGUUGAAGGCGCGAGAAAUUGGGGCGAGAGAAGAGAGUCAGCCGGAUCCCGGAGAGGACAGAGCUGAAGGCGCGGCGGGGCUUAGCACUGAGGACCUUCUCCGCGGCCCCGCUCCUCCUCCUUAUUUUCUUCUCUUUGGACUUGUUUGGACGGUUGCACACUUUUCCCCCUCCUGAUUCCCUAAGUUUUUUGUCUCUCCCCUCGCUGCCCGUUAGCUGUACUCCCCCAGCUCCCGUCCCUACUGGGCGCUGCAGGCUACCCAGCGGCACGCGAACCGCACGCGCGGACAACAAAAGCCUCUUUCAUGACUCACUGCCCUCGAGCAAUGCCCCAAAUCUGCCGCCUCCCGGGUCCCCGCUCUGAGCGCGCGGCGCGGGCCGGGCGUCCCGGCCGUUACAGCGGCAGCCGGAGCGCCCGCGGGAAGGGGGGCGGGAGGAGGCGUGUGGCCAGGGGUGGGGAGAGGGGAGUGUGGCCUGGGCCGGGCGGAGGGGAAGGGGGAGGCAUGUGGGAGGAUGGGGGUGGGGAAGGGAUGGAGGCGUGUGGCCCGGACGUAGGGGGUGGGAAGCGUGUGGCUGGAGGCGAAAGCGGGGAGCGGGAGGUCGGGGGCGAAGCAUUCACAGGGCCAAGAUAAAGCGCAGGGGCCGGGCCGGCGUCCCUGGCGGUGACCUGUUUCUCAGGGAAACAGAUGCUCGCUCUUGCAAAGGGAGGUUUGCGUUCAAUGAAAGGAUCAAGUGUGGCCAGGGCAGCCCGGCCGACCUCGAGAGGUUCCCGCGUCCUCUCCCCGCCCUGCCUAGGAGUGGGGUGUCGGGGCCUGGGCGCGGGAGAGCGGAGUGAGGGGGCCGGGUGGCUGAGGGGCCCGCGAGACCGUGGGGCUCAGGGGCCGCAGGAACGGAGGGCUGAGAGCUGCAGGUCCUGCACAGGCUGGGUAGCUCGGAGGCUCUUGAGAGCUUCGGGGGAUGAAGGGGGGUUGAUGCGGGUUCUGACCAGACCGCCGACGCGGCGCCUCCGCCCCGGGGGAGGCAGUUGGGCUCCCGGGUCCUGGCCUGAGGCUGGAGCUGCCCAGGCUCGACAGGCAGGCGACCCGGGAGAGCCAAGAGCAACGAGAGACGCUAUUAAAAUGCCUCGCCGUCGCCCCGAGCGCAAAACCCAUCCUCCCCAAAUCUCCUGGGCUUGCGGCAUAAUCUUAAUUAAGAUAAUUGAUUCAUAUUGCACCUGCGAGAACGGAAAAAAUUGAUUUCAACCCCCAACCCCACAAAUCGCUUAGAGCUAUUGGAUGGAGCACGACGCGACUGUGAUUUAGGGAGUGAUUUAGUGCCGGGCUUCCCCAGCUCGGCCUGCCUGGGCCUUUUUAUUUAUUAUUUAUGCCCUCCCGGUCCCGACGGGGCUUUGGUGGCUCCUUUGUCGGCUCCCACAGGCCUUGGAAGGACUUGUCUCUGAUUCCCUGUCAGGAUCCAGGGGCUUUCCUUAAACCAUCCAACACUCAGAAUCAACAACGUAAAAUCAACUCAGUAGGAGUAUCUUGGCAGUCGUAGGUCACGGGCACAAUUGCUCAAGGCCUCGUGCGUCCGAUGCCCUGUGUGUGCAAAAGUGUGUGAUUGCACUUGAAUGUACGUGUGUGAAUCCGUGUGUGUGCAAGAUUAUGUGAAUGUGUGUGCAAAUCGUGUGUGCAUAUAAUGAGUGUGUGAUUGUUAGUGUGUAUGUGAACAUAUGAGUGUGUGCAGGUGUGUGUCAAUGAAUGUGAAUGUGUAUGUGAAAGUGGGCAUAAGUGGAUGGGUGUGAGAGUGUUAAGUGUAUGUCCACGGUCGCACCUGCUUUCGGGUGAGGAGCGUGAGCAGAGGGCGCACACCUGUUUCCCGGGGAUCGAGGAACAGCUUGCUGUCCAAAGGGGAUCGCAGGGCCAGGGAACUGACAAGCACACGCUAUUUGCCAACCUUUGCCUUAAUAGAAAGAAGCAAGCAAACAAAAAUCCUCGGUAGCUGUGUGUAGCUUCAGGAGUGGAGAGCCGAGACACACCGACGGCGCCGGAGCGUCGCAAGAACAAUGGUUGCUGCAGUGGGUUGGGAGAGAGGACCCGGACAAGUUCCUAAAGGCACGGGAGGAACGCGGGCAAACCAGGUUUAGGGCCCCAGGCGAAUUGUGGAAGGAAUGACUUCCUCAACCUAUCAGCACCGUGGACAAUUCCCACUCCAACGGCCCUGACCUUCGGCCUACUAGAUUCAGCAAAAAUCUCUCUUCCUCCCUUGCUUCCUCCUUUCCUUCCUCCCUUCCUCCUUUCCUUCCUGCCUUCCCUCCCUCCCCUUCCUCCUCCUUUCCUUCCUUUCCUCCCUCCCCUUCUUCCUCCUUUCUUUCCCUUCCUCCUUUCCACUCUUCCCUGUUUGCUUUGUUUCAAAAACAAAAACAAACAAACAAAAAACAUGGGGCGCCAUGACUGAGCUUUUAGUCAAAGAGACCUGUAAGUCUGCAUCUAAUUAGGCACAUAUUCACAGUAAGUUUCCUAUAAAACUAGGUAGCCAGAUUUAGGGGCAAGGAAAGAGCUUAAACUAUAAUUUGAGCUGGCUAGUCUGAAACAAAGACAGAAAUCAUAAAUUGAAUAGCUUUCAAAAAGAUAGUCAUUAUUCCAAUAUUUGCACUUAUUUGCCACACAGCUUCAAAACCAAAAUGAAUUUCUUGUUUACUGUCCAUAGAAAUAAUAAAAUAUCUCUAAAAAUGUUUUUGAUUUUGCUUGUGUUUUAUGGAGUAUAAGUUUUAUUGAAAAUAUAAAAUCUUUUUCACCACCACUUUAUCAACAUUUCAGUUAUUUCAUACUGUAAACAAUUUCUGGUAAAUUCAUGAAAAAAUAAGCCAACAGAAGUUAAAUGGCAUUAUUCACUCAGAUUCAGUGAGCCACACAAUUAGCUAAAUCAUGCCAGAUCUAAAAUAUUGCAUAAUGAGUAGUCAUAACUUAUCCAGCAUAUACUGGAAAAGUCUAGUAAAGACAUAACUGAGAAGAGAAAGCUCCUUUGGUACUUUGAACAUCUGAGAAAUAUAUACACCAUAUCCCCCUCCCCCACCACACACUUAUUGAUGUAAUUUUCAAAACAUCAUUAUUAUUAGUAAACAGAAUCCUUAUCAAGUAUUAUUCACACUUCACUGUAAUGAGAAAUAUAAUCAUUUUUGAUUAAAGAAUUCAUCCCUGGAGUCUCACCUUCUUUAAAUAAAAUGUCUUCUUUCCUUUAUAACAAAUGCAUUUCACUCAAAUUAAAUAUUGAUAAUUUGACCUUUUAUGUCUUUAACUAAUCAAAGGGGGAAAAUUCCAAAUGUAGAUCUCGGAGUUUGGCCUUGGUGGGUCUUUCCGCUUGAGUAGGCACUGAGAUUAAAGGAGUCAAACUUCCUCUUUCACUGCUCUCUCCUUGCACUAAUUGCUUAUGCAAAAAAUGCAGAUUUGUAUUAAUUAGUAACUCCACUGAUUAGUUCUGUGGUAUUUUCACAUAAUAAAUCAUGCUGCAGACAUGAAUUUUGGCACAUCACCCAGUGGUGGCUCGGCUGCAAUACGGGUUUCUUAUUAAAAUAAAAUCUCUGACUAAAUCUACCUUUCGGAUGUAGGUACUGUGAGCAGCCACCUGCUGGGAGCACCUGCCAUGGGAAAUUACUUUCACUCAGUGACAAACCACUUUAGGGGCUCAAACAGAACAAUUUGAUUAUGAGGUUAGGCUCUAAUAAUAAACAAAUAGUUAAACACAUACAUACAUACGUGACACAAAUGUGUCUAAGCUUUAGACACAUUUUGCAGACCAUGAUGUAACAACAGAUAAUUUACUUGUAAUGGGACUAGAUGUUUAAAAACAACUUCCCAAGUCAUCAAUAAAUACCUCAGUCUGUUUUCCUCCUGUAACAUCUUUGCUCAUUUGUGAGAUGGUCUGGUAUUUUGAGACUCUCACAAAACUCACCCUUAUUGACUUUACCCACUCCCCAGGCAGGCAAGCUAGUUCUGGAAGGAAAAGAGCCACAAAAGUAUCAAGGAGAGGAAUAUGAAUGCCAACAGCCCUCCCAGAGGGAACUGGGCACCCCUGCCAUCCUAGCAUCAGAUGAGAAGCUGUGAGGCCAGACACCUACAGUUGCGUGAUGUGAGGCAAAUUCUUCCUUUCCCAUUGUUCACUAUACAAACUUUUACACAACUUCUUCCUUUUGAAAAGUAUUUAAUUUGAUAAAGCAGAUUACAACCAAUCUUGCCAAGACUAUGAAUUAGGCCCAGGUGUUUUCUGUGCUCUUUUAACCCUUUACGUGCCCUUGUUUUCUAAUCACUAGUGACGCCUUUCCAAGACCCCUCAGGUGCUCUCAGCACCUUUAUGUUCUUUCUGUUACCUGCCAAUCUAUACCUGCUGCUUGUUGCAAGGAACCUGGAAAUUUACGCAUCUUAAGAGGUUGAGAAUGACGCUGAAUCUGAUGCCUGUACCUGGGGAGGUUGCAGAAUCACAAGGUACAAAGAAAAAAAAUAAAAAUAUUGACAUUCAGAGAUUAAUAAAGGCUAAGAAAGGUAUAUUUCAGAUGGAGGCUGGGACAUGACAUUCUGUUCAGUUUGUGCUAACGCAGGUCACAGCCUCCAUCUUCCUUCAUGACUUGUCCUGAGGCAGGUGGGUAUGUGGAGGCUGGGAAUUGUGAAGCCUCUAGGGAGGCUCUCUCUCUCUCUCGACAUCAUUUACUAACCCUUUCAAACUUAGGUGGUGAAAGGAAGAGGUCAUUUAUUUUGUGAUGUUUUUAUUUAUUUGUCUUCGAUGUGGGCAAUUAUUUAUUUAUUUAUUUUGAGAUGGAAUUUCGCUCUUGUUGCCCAGGCUGGAGUGCAAUGGCACGAUCUCGGCUCACCACAACCUCCGCCUUCUGGGUUCAAGCAAUUCUCCUGCCUCAGCCUCCCGUGUAGCUGGGAUUACAGGCACGUGCCACCACGCCCGGCUAAUUUUUGUAUUUUUGGUAGAGACGGGGUUUCCCCAUGUUGGUCAGGCUGGUCUCGAACUCCUGGCUCUGGUGAUCCGCCCACCUCGGCCUCCCAAAGUGCUGGGAUUACAGGCGUGAGCCACCGCACCUGGCCUGGCAGUUUUUUAAAGAAGUUAACCCAAAAGUCAGGAAAGAACAUAAAAUUUAAAGCAGCUAAGUCAAAUAUGCUUUUUCUCCUUUGAAUUUACCCUGGAUCCUACUUCUUCUGGAAUCACAUGGACUAGAUUAAUAGUCUCUCAUGAAAAACCAACAGACAAAAAACAAAACAAAAAUAACAGUCCUAAAUUUUUAUGUUUGUCCACAAUGCUAGUGUGGUAGACAAUAUGGAGAGCACCAGGGCUGAGCAUAAGCAAAGGCUAUAAAACUGAUUCAGGUUUUCUUCAGAGAGCUUGUCUCCUCCUUCCCCUCCUUUCAGAAACUGCUGAUUCACUGGGCAAUAAGCGUAUUAGCAAAUCUAUAUUGAAUGCCAUUAUGUGCCAGGCACUGUGCUGCUAGGUGCUAGGGGCACAGGAGUAAAUAGACAUUAGAUUCAGCUUUCUUGACGCUUUCUUUCUAGUGGGAGAGAUGGACUUUAACGAGGUUUACUCACAAGUGAGUAUGUACCUACCCAACUUGAAACAAGUGCAGGAGUACUCAAUACCCAAUCUCACUUCCUUCUUGUGUGCCUUUCUAGAGUAAACAGUCUGGAAAAUUAAAACAAAUAAAUUAAUUAAAAGUUUCCUAUGUGUCCUAGUUGUGGUAUACAUUCUGCUAAUCAGAUGCAUUAGACUUUUAUUCAGAACCAGUUACUUGAGAGAGCCAGGAGACAGAAGAUUUAUUUGUCUGGCACAAAUUCUAGUGCAAGUAAAGCCAGCAAGUGUGGUGACAGCUUUCUGAUCAGGACUCAAGCAAAGGUGGAAGCUUUCUUAGCCUAGUUUUGUGGUAUGGUUUUUGAUACUCUUCCUGGAAUCUCAGGCUAGAGUCUGUUUCUUCAAGCCUCCUAACACAUUUCUUGUAAAGCUCUCCAGGUGAUGAGGGACACUAAAGUUUGAAAACCCCUAAUGGUUCUCAAUAACACACCACACCUAUCUUCUGAUCUCUUACAUCAAGGAGCAAAAACUGAGAAUUAUAAUGACAACAUUUGGGAAGAUUUAAAUAGCUCCAGCUACUCUGAAUACUCAAGUU
rnacentral:lncRNA from 1 species